rnacentral:rRNA from 1 species
UACGGAGGGGGCAAGCGUUGUUCGGAAUUACUGGGCGUAAAGCGUGCGCAGGCGGUCUGUUAAGACCGAUGUGAAAUCCCCGGGCUUAACCUGGGAACUGCAUUGGUGACUGGCAGGCUUUGAGUGUGGCAGAGGGAGGUAGAAUUCCACGUGUAGCAGUGAAAUGCGUAGAUAUGUGGAGGAACACCGAUGGCGAAGGCAGCCUCCUGGGCCAAUACUGACGCUGAGGCACGAAAGCGUGGGGAGCAAACAGG